rnacentral:rRNA from 1 species
UGAGGAAUCUUGCGCAAUGGGCGAAAGCCUGACGCAGCGACGCCGCGUGAGGGAUGAAGGCCUUCGGGUUGUAAACCUCUGUCAGGGGGGAAGAACCCGCAGCCGGUGAAUAACCGGUUGCGCUGACGGUACCCCCAGAGGAAGCACCGGCUAACUCCGUGCCAGCAGCCGCGGUAAGACGGAGGGUGCAAACGUUGUUCGGAAUCACUGGGCGUAAAGGGCGCGUAGGCGGACCUGUAAGUCGGGAGUGAAAUCUCGGGGCUCAACCCCGAGCCUGCUUCCGAAACUGCAAGUCUUGAGGACUGGAGAGGAAAGUGGAAUUCCCGGUGUAGCGGUGGAAUGCGUAGAUAUCGGGAGGAACAUCGGUGGCGAAGGCGACUUUCUGGACAGUUCCUGACGCUGAGGCGCGAAAGCUAGGGGAGCAAACAGG